GACGAACGCUGGCGGCGUGCCUAAUACAUGCAAAUCGAACGAGAGCGACCGGUGCUUGCACUGGUCAAUCUAGUGGCGAACGGGUGAGUAACACGUGGGUAACCUGCCCAUCAGAGGGGGAUAACAUUCGGAAACGGAUGCUAAAACCGCAUAGGUCUUCGAACCGCAUGGUUUGAAGAGGAAAAGAGGCGCAAGCUUCUGCUGAUGGAUGGACCCGCGGUGCAUUAGCUAGUUGGUGAGGUAACGGCUCACCAAGGCCGUGAUGCAUAGCCGACCUGAGGGGGUGACCGGCCCACUUGGGCCUGAGCCCCGCCCCAACCCCCUCCGGGAGGCAGCAGUGGGGAUUUUCCCGCAAUGGACGCAAUUUUGACGGGGCAACGCCGGGGGGGGGAAGAAGUUUUUCGGAUCGUAAACCUUUUUUUUUAGAGAAGAAUAAGUUCUAGGGUACCUUUUAGCCCCUUGCCGGUUUUUACCCAGAAAGCCCCGGCUAACUACGU
rnacentral:rRNA from 1 species